UAGUUUCUCUAAUAUCUUGGACGAAGAGAAAGACACAAUUAUGCAUAGUACUGGUGCUUGCCAUAAUAGAUAGUGGAACACGACUUGCAGUAGGCAGCUUAUUGACAAUAGAUUGUGCUCAACGAUAACUUAUUAAUUAUGAAGGCAGGAGCCAACAGGUCCGUAUUGGUAAUUUUUUAUCUUACUCAUGUGACGUCCCCUCGGGUGUUCCGCAAGAUACGCAUUGUGGACCUGUUCUUUUUUUAUUGUUUUUAAAUGUCUUAGUAUGUCAUUUAAGAUAUUCUAGUUAUUUACUAUGUGUUUAAACUCAGAAAAUGUAAAUAUAUUUACACAAUAUUCUUGUAAGGUUUUGGAUAUAACAUUGAAUACCUAAUA